UGAGUGGGUGUGGUUGAAUAAGCGGGUGGAUGUUUUGAACAUUAUAUUAAUAUGUGCGGAUCCACAUGCUGCCUUCACGCAGCCUGUAGUCCAGACAUCUGAGUCUAGACAUUUUGAGGACCAAGUGGUUUGGGUACCAAGUGUCUCGAGCACCAAACAUCCUGAAGCCUAUUUACACUCAGGUCCAUCUGUCUUGAGGAUUGAUUAUCUGAACUGAGGUCUAUAUGACCUGAGUACCAUCCAUCCCAGUGACUAACUCCCCCGCCACACAACCGCGGCCAAGGACCCAACAGUCAACACGCAGCGGCACAGCUCAAAAGAGAAGAGGUGAAGAGAAUACAAAGAGGACAGAGAAGAGAGAAUAAAGGGAACUAAGAGGAGAGAGGCUGCAAGGAGACAAAAAGGAGGGUGAGUCAGUAAGGGGAGCAAGAGGAGAGUAACAAGGCGGUGGUGCUUAUUUGGAAAGGAAGAAACUCCUGCACACCACCGCCAUCUGCACUACCUCACAUGACUAACAUCACUGGUCACAAGAACAUCCAUCCGUGGCCAAGGCUUCCUCACACCAACGGGCUAACAAUUGGACAUUAUAAUCAAUUAUCCAAUUAGUUCAUGGAGUCAGAGGUUCAAAUAAACGUGCAUAUUACAUAAUUAUGCUCUCUCUCUCUCUCUCUCUCUCUCUCUCUCUCUCUCUCUCUCUCUCUCUCUCACAAUAGAAAUAUUCAUAUAACUCGAGCUGCAUAUUUUCUUUCAACCUACAGACAGUCCAAACAUUACAUACCUUAAUUAAGUUGUAAAAUACAAUGAGAAGUCCGUGAAAACCAAGAGAGGUUUAUCAUUUUUUUUUUUUCAGAUAAUCUUAUAAGCUGUUUCUCCCUCCCCCCCCACUUCCACUGAUAAAUUCUUGAAGAAAGUGUGUAUUGUAGUCUGAAAUGAUCAAUGGGUCCCAAGAGUUUAAUGGAACAACUUACCUCUAGGAAAGAAAAUCUCUCUCUCUCUCUCUCUCUCUCUCUCUCUCUCUCUCUCUCUCUCUCCUGCACCAUGGAAGCACACAACCUUUGCUUUAACCAAUGAUGCCGUAAGCUCCGAUCACUAAUGUUACGAUUUUUUUUUUUUUCUAGAAAAGGAGGUAUUUAUUGAAAAGAAUAUGAAUUACGUAACAUAACUUGACCUGAGAAGCCAAGGCAAACUUGACUUAGCCCCUGUAGUGUUUUCAGUAACUAGAAAACCUGUCUAAUAUUAAAUUGUGUCAAUAUUUGUAACAACCAUUACCACAACUGAGAUGAAAGGUUCAGUUCACAGUUUUGAGUGAAUAAUAGAUGUAAUAACAUGUAUGAUUAUAUUACAUUACAAAACUUGCCAAUGACAAAUAUGCAGUCCCCAUCCCUAACAACAAAGAAUUGCAAUCACUUACAAUAAGAAACAUAUUUAACGAUACAAUACUGAAAAAAAAUAUACAUCAAAGUAACUUACAAUAUUAAGCAAGACAGUGUUAUUAAAUGAAUACAUACUGAUUGAUACCUGUUUCCAUUUCCCUUAUGUACUUUAUGUAUUUCCAUGGCCAUGUGUCCCACUGCCUCCUUACUCAAGUACUCUGGAUAUGGUAAAGGGUUGCAUCAUGAGGUGCAUGGCUGUAUGAACACAGGCGAACACUCACCUCACUUACAAGUUCUGAACAGCACAGUUGAUUAAUCAAUAAAAUCAUGUGACAUUUUAUUCAUUAUAGUUUCAUGAGAACUGGUUCUUUUUUGCAUAUUGCAAAUCAUAUUAACACAUUUCACAAAAUUUUCAAAUGAUAGGGAAUGGUGGUAACAAAUAGAGGAAUAAACUAAUGCAGUGAUGGAUUAAGAUUUGAUGGGAGGAGGAGAACAGAAGACAGUUGGGAAAGUUGUCACAAAGGCACAUGGAUGCUUAAUUUUGCACUUACAGUAGUUUCAUUCAAACUCCUAAAGAUAUCAAAUGACUUCCUCCCAGGUUGACAUUUCAAUUUAAAGUAACAAAGAUACUAAAAAUCACUUUUUCAAAAUUCAUGUGAAGGAAGUAAAGAAAUCUUUGAACUUCAAAUCUUUGAGAGGCUAUUUAGUUUCAUAUCUAAUUAAUAAAUGUGCUGGAACAGUAUUGUAGUCACAGGGCAUAAAUGCAAGUAGAGUUAAACCAUCCACCUUGUCAACAAUGAUGACUAAGUGGGGCUGAAUCCUUCAAGGCAUGGGAAACAAAACUGACAGUGCUUUACAUCCCCAAGGGACAUCACACUACCAGUUGAAAGAGUGGCUUCAUAAAGCCCAGAGUAUGAUACAAAUAAGCAGUCUGAGUUAGAUAGACAUGCAGUUAUGGUUUCCUUAUCAGCUCAGGUCAUGAAUAACAGUAAUACAGGAGUAAGCUUUUUUGCUCUCUGCUAGUAUGAAUGGACUAGACUGCAUGUCAGAUGAAUAAGAUGCAGCACAGAAAUAUCUAAGUACAGACUGGUACUUUUGCCCAGUCCAGUAUUUUGAAGCCCAAUAAAAUGUGGUUUCACUAAGUUCUACAAUAAAUCAUGAAAUACAUUAAUAUAUAUCUCUCAGUAGUAUUGGUUAUGAAAUUUGUAACUCCAUUUAUGGGCUUCCUUAAUAUUACCAUAUUUAAGUGUUGGUGUUAAGUUACUGUAUAUGGCUAUCAUUCCCUAAAAUUAUAGUUCAAGUUGAACAUGAUAUAAUUUCAUGGUUAUUAAGUAUAAAUAGUGAGCUGCUGCCAUUAAAGUAAGAAUUAAAGUCUUCUGCUUCCAGCAGCUAUUUUCUCUUUCUGUGUUCUCUGUGUGCCUGCUAACCAUACCUUUUUCAUGUGUACUUCCAUAUCUUCCAGCUAGAAAGGGAAAAUAUGAACACGGUACCAAUAUCCUUCUCUGAGUCUGUUGGCAAUUUACUGGAUGGUUGACAAACAUUACAACCUUUAUUUCUAUCUAAUUCAGUGGUGGGAUCAUUAAAAAGAUUAAUGAGAAUGUUUCGGUCUUUUGCAAGAACUAAAGCCAAGGAACAGCAGGAUAUGGACUUUGGUUUUAGAGUUGCUCUCAGGCCAGAAAACCCUUAAUCCAUCCUUACACAGAUACAUGUGAUAAGGUUAUGCAAUGUAAAAAGAUGAGCACUAAAACUAAAAGCUGAAAUAUGAUUGUCAGACUGGCAAAUUUAAAUAGCGUGAAAGGAUCCAUCAGUGACAGACAUAAAGGAGAUUCACUGCUUGAAACACAUGACAGCAUUGUUGAAUCAUGUGGGUCACUGUGCAGGUCUUUGAUCAUAAAGUGACUCUUGCUUGGGAGAAACGUGGAAAGAUGUAUUACACAAACAGUGGGAAUGCAAAGCUCUCACAGGCUGGAAUGGUGUGGGAAUGGAUCAUCUGUGGGAAUGCAUCAUAGCCUUUCUCUGCUGUUUAUAUUUCUGAGUUUAUCAUCAACUCACUCCAUGGCUGGCAAGAAAUAAUACAAUGGGAGACAAUGAUCAUGAUCAUGAUGAUGAAACAAUGACAGUGAUGAUAAUGAUUGUCAUGGUAGUGGUGAUAAUGGUAAUGAUAAUGAUGAUCAGGAUGAUGUGACAGUGGUGGUAGUGGUGGUGAUCACAAUCAUUUCAUCAUCAUCAUCAUCAUCUUCA